AAGUCGUAACAAGGUUUCCGUAGGUGAACCUGCGGAAGGAUCAUUACAAAUCAGAAAGGUUUGAUGAGAGGGGAGUGUGUGGGUGUGGUGGGGGGGGAGAGUGUAAGGGUGAUGAAUGGGGGGGUGUGUUAAACCAUACCGUGUUAUGCAUAUGCAUAUGCAGUGCUAUGCAAUGCUAUGCUAUGCUAUACCAUACUUUACCCAGCACUUUUACAAUUCUACACCUUACACACUAUCUUAUCAAACAACAUAUGUGCAGAGCAGCAAUGCUCUGAUACAUACAUGUACGCUUGUUGGGUUUGUCAGAGUAAAUGAGAUGAGAUGGGAUGAAAGACAACUUUUAACAAUGGAUCUCUUGGCUCUU
rnacentral:misc_RNA from 1 species